AUACGUAGGUGGCAAGCGUUAUCCGGAAUUAUUGGGCGUAAAGAGGGGGCAGGCGGCAGCAAGGGUCUGUGGUGAAAGCCUGAAGCUUAACUUCAGUAAGCCAUAGAAACCAGGUAGCUAGAGUGCAGGAGAGGAUCGUGGAAUUCCAUGUGUAGCGGUGAAAUGCGUAGAUAUAUGGAGGAACACCAGUGGCGAAGGCGACGAUCUGGCCUGCAACUGACUCUCAGGCCCGAAAGCGUGGGGAGCAAAUAGGAUUAGAUACCCUAGUAGGCCACGCCGUAAACGAUGAGUACUAAGUGUUGGAUGUCAAAGUUCAGUGCUGCAGUUAACGCAAUAAGUACUCCGCCUGAGUAGUACGUUCGCAAGAAUUAAACUCAAAUGAAUUGACGGGG
rnacentral:rRNA from 1 species